UUUUAAUUUUAUUCAUCUUAACCCAUUAUUCAAUACUCAUUUCGUCCUUUGUAAGAAAUUGAUUUUGGUCUAUUUGAAAUGACAUUUUGGAUUAGUAAAAAAAUUGAAGUUUGAAUGACAUACCCGUGUCUAAAAUUUGGACUUAGGUCAUGUCUGAGUAUCCUACAGUUUAGAAAAUAAAAAAUUCGACACUUAGAUACGUACUCGUACCCAAGUCUAAGCAUCAGAGUUUGAGACAACCCUCACAUGAGUAUUUUCUUUCUUUUGUGUGAACAUGUAGCUCUUAACUAUUAGGAAAAAAAUUUAAAGGAUUUUCUGAGGUCGGGAUGAAAACUGACAUUCUUUUGUGUUCUUGUCAAAUUAGCUUUAUUCUUAAUUCAAAAGUCAGAAAAAUGCCGAUUUUACCCUUUUAAAAAUAGACUUUGGGUCGAAGUGGUUCCUUCUUCUACUCGGUCGCUCAGCCUUUGGUCGAG
rnacentral:lncRNA from 1 species